rnacentral:rRNA from 1 species
AUUGAACGCUGGCGGCAGGCCUAACACAUGCAAGUCGAGCGGCAGCGGAAGUAAGCUUGCUUUCUUGCCGGCGAGCGGCGGACGGGUGAGUAAGGUAUGGGAUCUGGCCGAAGGCGGGGGAUAACCACUGGAAACGGUGGCUAAUACCGCAUAAUCUCUAAGUAGCAAAGUGGGGGACCUGUCAGGCCUCACAACUUCGGAUGAACCGAUAUGGGAUUAGCUAGUAGGUGGGGUAGUGGCUUCGCUAGGCGACGGUCUCUAGCUGGUCUGAGAGGAUGAUCAGCCACACUGGGAAGGAGACACGGCCCAGACUCCUACGGGAGGGAGCAGUGGGGAAUAUUGCACAAUGGGCGCAAGCCUGAUGCAGCCAUGCCGCGUGUAUGAAGAAGGCCUUCGGGUUGUAAAGUACUUUCAGUCGUGAGGAAGGUGUUAAGGUUAAUAACCUUAGCAAUUGACGUUAGCGACAGAAGAAGCACCGGCUAACUCCGUGCCAGCCGCCGCCGUAA